ACGAAAGUUGACACGUAAGUGCAAAUAACCCAAUAUUCGUGUGUAUACUUAUUUAUUUAUGUGAAUUGUUCUAAAUAUUCGUUUAUAUUUCAUUAUAGCAUUAUACAAACUGUUCGAGCACAAAGAAAAAUUCAAGUACCAAAGAGAAAAGCCAAUAACAUUACAUGGAAUAGAGUGGAGUGUCCUCGACAGCGUAAUAAUAUAGAUUGUGGAUAUUACACGUUGAGGUUUAUGAAAGAAACUCUUCUUAUGGAUCGAACAGAUAUUCCAUCUGAUUACUUUGAUGAAUAUAGAUGUGCUUAUUACUCAAAAGAUCAGUUGGAUGAAAUUAAAGAGGAAUUGUGUCAAUUCAUUAUCGAGCUACAGGUUUUGUGAGGUUAUAUAGCAUAUUUAGAAGAUAGAACUAGAAUGUGUUGAAAUACAUUUUGAUUAGCAUUUUUGGAGGUUAUUAGAAAUGUGUAGAUUUUUUGUAAAGGCAAACAUUUUCAAGUAUAUAUAUAAAUACUCAAAAAACUGCUGAAAUUAGAAGUAUAUUGUGUUGAACUAUAAUGUGUUUAUAAUGCAUAUAGAUUUUCAAGUAUAUGUGCAUAUUCAGAAGAUAGAACUACAAUGUGUUGAACUAUAAGGUGCAUAUAGAUUGGAUUCAAGCUCCAAUUUAUGAAAAUCUGCUGAAAUUUGCAAUUUACAGGUGCUAAAUAAUGUGGUGAAAACGUAUAAAAAGAUCCUCCAAAAUUUGGAGUCUUAGACAGCGCUUUUAGGCAAAAAGCGCUGGUAAAGGCAUUUUAAUUUUGACCUUAGACAGCGCUUUUAUCAAAAAAGCGCUGGCAUAGGUGGUUAAUUCAACAAAAUAUAGUGUAAAA